rnacentral:rRNA from 1 species
AGUGAACGCUGGCGGUAGGCCUAACACAUGCAAGUCGAACGGCAGCACAGUAAGAGCUUGCUCUUACGGGUGGCGAGUGGCGGACGGGUGAGGAAUACAUCGGAAUCUACUUUUUCGUGGGGGAUAACGUAGGGAAACUUACGCUAAUACCGCAUACGACCUACGGGUGAAAGCAUGGGAUCUUCGGACCUUGCGCGAUUGAAUGAGCCGAUGUCGGAUUAGCUAGUUGGCGGGGUAAAGGCCCACCAAGGCGACGAUCCGUAGCUGGUCUGAGAGGAUGAUCAGCCACACUGGAACUGAGACACGGUCCAGACUCCUACGGGAGGCAGCAGUGGGGAAUAUUGGACAAAGGGCGCAAGCCUGAUCCAGCCAUACCGCGUGGGUGAAGAAGGCCUUCGGGUUGUAAAGCCCUUUUGUUGGGAAAGAAAAGCAGCAGGUUAAUACCCCGCUGUUCUGACGGUACCCAAAGAAUAAGCACCGGCUAACUUCGUG